rnacentral:rRNA from 1 species
GAUGAACGCUGGCGGCGUGCCUAAUACAUGCAAGUCGAGCGAACAGACGAGGAGCUUGCUCCUCUGACGUUAGCGGCGGACGGGUGAGUAACACGUGGAUAACCUACCUAUAAGACUGGGAUAACUUCGGGAAACCGGAGCUAAUACCGGAUAAUAUAUUGAACCGCAUGGUUCAAUAGUGAAAGACGGUUUUGCUGUCACUUAUAGAUGGAUCCGCGCCGCAUUAGCUAGUUGGUAAGGUAACGGCUUACCAAGGCAACGAUGCGUAGCCGACCUGAGAGGGUGAUCGGCCACACUGGAACUGAGACACGGUCCAGACUCCUACGGGAGGCAGCAGUAGGGAAUCUUCCGCAAUGGGCGAAAGCUUGACGGAGCAACGCCGCGUGAGUGAUGAAGGUCUUCGGAUCGUAAAACUCUGUUAUUAGGGAAGAACAAAUGUGUAAGUAACUAUGCACGUCUUGACGGUACCUAAUCAGAUAGCCACGGCUAACUACGUG